rnacentral:rRNA from 1 species
AGCGAACGCUGGCGGCAGGCUUAACACAUGCCAGUCGAGCGGACCUUUCGGGGUCAGCGGCGGACGGGUGAGUAACGCGUGGGAACGUGCCUUCCGGUUCGGAAUAACCCUGGGAAACUAGGGCUAAUACCGGAUACGCCCUUAUGGGGAAAGGUUUACUGCCGGAAGAUCGGCCCGCGUCUGAUUAGCUAGUUGGUGGGGUAACGGCCUACCAAGGCGACGAUCAGUAGCUGGUCUGAGAGGAUGAUCAGCCACACUGGGACUGAGACACGGCCCAGACUCCUACGGGAGGCAGCAGUGGGGAAUAUUGGACAAUGGGCGCAAGCCUGAUCCAGCCAUGCCGCGUGAGUGAUGAAGGCCUUAGGGUUGUAAAGCUCUUUUAUCCGGAACGAUAAUGACGGUACCGGAGGAAUAAGCCCCGGCUAACUUCGUG